rnacentral:rRNA from 1 species
GGGUCAGUAGGUUGGUCGUGCCACCGGUACGUACUGGUCUCACUGAUUCCUCCUUCCUGAAGAACCGUAAUGCCAUUAAUUUGGUGUUGCGGGGAAACAGGACUGUUACUUUGAAAAAAUUAGAGUGUUUAAAGCAGACUAACGCUUGAAUACAUUAGCAUGGAAUAAUGAAAUAGGACGAUCGAUCCUAUUUUGUUGGUUUCUAGGAGUGACGUA